rnacentral:rRNA from 1 species
UACGUAGGGUGCAAGCGUUGUCCGGAAUUAUUGGGCGUAAAGAGCUCGUAGGCGGCUUGUCGCGUCGACUGUGAAAACCUGGGGCUUAACUCCGGGCCUGCAGCCGAUACGGGCAAGCUAGAGUUCGGUAGGGGAGACUGGAGUUCCUGGUGUAGCGGUGAAAUGCGCAGAUAUCAGGAGGAACACCGGUGGCGAAGGCGGGUCUCUGGGCCGAAACUGACGCUGAGGAGCGAAAGCGUGGGGAGCAAACAGG